AUACUACUCCCUCCGUCCGGAAAUACUUGUCGGAGAAAUGGAUGUAUCUAGGCGUAUUUUAGUUCUAGAUACAUCCUUUUUAUCCAUUUCUCCGACAAGUAUUUCCGGACGGAGGGAGUACAAA
rnacentral:pre_miRNA from 1 species